AGGUUUUCAUUGUGUACAAGACCUGAUAUGUUUUUCAACAGAUGAAAAGAAUUGUGUGGUAUAUUAAAACAGAUAAAGUUCCUUUGUAAAGGUAAAUAUAUCGUGGCAUGAAUAUAAGCAGUGAUUUAUGUUACAAAAAUAUCAAUGUUUAGGAAAAACAUCUAUGUAUUGUGUUGUAAUUUCAAGAUAAUAUGUGUUAUGUUAAAUUAAGAUCAGCUAUUGUAUCUAUAGGUACAUGUAAUAUAGAGAGAAUAAUCUUAUCUUAUUGAUUUAGAUAUGAAGUUGAAAUGGACUUUAGAGAGUCCAGCAAAUCAGUUUUCCACACUUUUUUUCUUUACAUGCUUGAAGAUAUUGAUUUGAUAUUUGGUACAUUGUUUUAUCAUGACAAGCUACAAAUCAAGUUAAAAUUUUGUGCAGGUCUGAUAAUGUUAUGCAGAGUUAUGGUCCUUGGACUUAAAUUUUCACCCAAAUAAUCAGUUUUCCACAUUUUUUUGCAUUAUGCUUGAAGAAAUUAAUUAGAUACUUGGUAUAUAGUUAAAUUUGAUUUUUGAUCAUUUUAAAUUAUCUCCCUUCUCUUUAUUCACUGAAAAAUAACUGUCAUGGACGUAUCACUACAUUUAUUGGAAUGUGGAAAAUUGAAAUAGAUAAUUUUAAUGAUUUUUGAUAAUUUUAAAUUUUCCCCUUUUUUUUUAUUCAAGAAAAAAUAACUCAUGGACGUAUCACUACAUUUAUCGGGAGCGUUUUUCCUGAUUUGUAGAAAAUUGAAACAGAUAAUUUGAUUUUUGAUAUUUAUUUAAUUAUCUCCCUUCUUUUUCAGAAAAAUAGCUGUCAUGGACGUAUCACUACAUUUAUCGGGAGUUUUUUUCCUGAUUUGUGGGAUAUGGUGGAGCAUUCAAAUCACGAAAAAGUUUUACUAUGCAAAAGAUCAACAAACCGACUUUAAAAGCUCGACAUCCUAUACAUGUUGUUUUUCAUGUCGAACAUUUCCUAUAGAGAGUUUUACCAAGUUUGCCUUCAGUAUUAGUUACAUCAUUUACGAAAUAGUAUUAGCGACAGAUUUUGGUCAUGCUAAAAAUUUACACUAUGAGAAUCUCCUGCACAUGACAGUUUUUGCCUUUUUUUCAUUUAGUUUUAUCAUUGAGAUUAUUCAGCAUUAUAAGGUCAAGUUGAUUGUAAAUGACCUUGAAUAUGUGACCUUGAUAUUUGCCUUUGGUGCUCAGGCCUUACUUUAUGGCUGCCAUUUUGCUACAGAAUAUUCGGUAAAAUGUGUAGUACACAAUCUCAUUCAGUAUACAGCCGUAAUAUGUUGUGUUGUCACUGCCUUAGAAAUGAAGUUUCGAACUAACGUAAUUUUCCCAUUGUUUCGUGGAGUCUUCGUCAUGGUACUUGGAACAUGGACUUUACACACAUCGAUCAUUUUGGAAGACAAAGAACUGUCAAUAGAUACAAAAGACAAUGCCUGGAUGGUCACACUAUAUUUUACGUGGCAUUGUGCAAUUAAUGGUGUAUUCAUGUUGUGUAUUUGGUUGAUUACGUACAAAUUGUUUACACAUAAUAAGUGUUGUUGUUUACCUUUAGAUUAUAACAACACAGAUGACAAUGUUUGUUUACACAACAGAGUUCGCUUUGAUUAUCCACUAUUGAACAGAUUUGAUUCUGAUGUUGAAUAAUGUUUAUAACAAUCAGAAAGAGUUGUCUACCCUUUUUUCUGCUUUUUUCUCUAUUAUUACAUCAUGAUCAUGGUGCUUUUCUAUAGUUUGUU
rnacentral:lncRNA from 1 species